rnacentral:rRNA from 1 species
GACUUAAGCAUAUCAAUAAGCGGAGGAAAAGAAACCAACAGGGAUUGCCCUAGUAACGGCGAGUGAAGCGGCAACAGCUCAAAUUUGAAAUCUGGCCUCGGCCCGAGUUGUAAUUUGCAGAGGAUGCUUUUGGUGCGGUGCCUUCCGAGUUCCCUGGAACGGGACGCCACAGAGGGUGAGAGCCCCGUAUGGUCGGACACCAAUCCUGUGUAAAGCUCCUUCGACGAGUCGAGUAGUUUGGGAAUGCUGCUCUAAAUGGGAGGUAAAUCUCUUCUAAAGCUAAAUACCGGCCAGAGACCGAUAGCGCACAAGUAGAGUGAUCGAAAGAUGAAAAGCACCUUGAAAAGGGGGUUAAACAGUACGUGAAAUUGUUGAAAGGGAAGCACUUGUGACCAGACUUGGGCCGGGCGGCUCAUCAGGGGUUCUCCCCUGUGCAUUCCGCCCGGUACAGGCCAGCAUCGGUUCUUACCGGGGGAUAAGAACGGCAGGAACGUGGCUCCCUCUCGGGGGAGUGUUAUAGCCUGCCGUACGAUACCCUGGCGGGGACCGAGGUUCGCGCUUCCGCAAGGAUGCUGGCGUAAUGGUUACUAGUGACCCGUCUUGAAACACGGACCAAGGAGUCGUCCAUUAGAGCGAGCGUUUGGGUGUAAAACCCGCACGCGUAAUGAAAGUGAAAUUAGGUGAGAGCUUCGGCGCAUCAUCGACCGAUCCUGAUGUUCUCGGAUGGAUUUGAGUAAGAGUUUUAACGGACGGACCCGAAAGACAGUGAACUAUGCUUGUAUAGGGUGAAGCCAGAGGAAACUCUGGUGGAGGCUCGCAGCGGUUCUGACGUGCAAAUCGAUCGU